CUAUUAAAUUAAGGGAUAAAUUAAAAAAUAAGUAAAACACACACUUCAAUUCAAUGUAUUUUGUUAUGUAAUGGAUUAAAGUGCAUGUUUUUCUUUAUUUUUAACUUAUCCUUAACUUAAUAACCUAAAAAAACUCCUUAUUGGAGCAUUACUAAUAUAUGUAUGUAGUAUCAUUCUCUAGUGUGAAUGUCCUCAUAUUUUUCAUAUGGCCAUAUUGGUAAACAGUGCAGUUUAAUAGUGCAUUAAAAAAUAACUCUAUUAAACCUUAUAGUUUGCAUUGACUUUAUUAAAUCACACGGUUUAACAGCAUGCCCACAUUAAAAAAAAUACAUUGUAUAUCUCAUAAAAAAAAAAUUAUGUUUGCUAUACCAAUAAAAUUGGAGCAAGCGUCAUGACACUUAUUAAUGUCAGAUUUCUUAGGUUAUUCAAUAAAAUUGGUUUCAAUCUCGCUUUUAUUCAAGAAUUUCAUGUUUGUAUCCGAUUAAUCUCAUCAAAGUUGAUGUGUUUUUCCUCUAACUAAUGGUUAGGGAUGUAAUUUAUGUCUCUUAAUUUAAAAAGUUUAGGUUUGGGCUUUGAUUAUUUGAUCAUUAAUCUUGUAGCCUUUGGAUACUUUCAAUGAGAGUGUAUUAAUCCACAUUAAGUAUGUUGUAUUUGGACUAUUAAGCUGAAACUAGACGGCUUCUGUUUACUAAGCAAUACAAGAAUUUGAGUUAUAAUUAGGUCAGCUUUAUGUUUGGCUGUAACUAGAUGGGUUCUGUUUACUAACUUAUCUGUGUUAUCGUCUUUAUUAACCCAUUCUUUAAGCUAUAUUAGGGUAUUAGAAACAGAGCUAUGAAAGAAAUUAGAACCUGCAUUCAUAUACAAGUAUUAGAGUUGCGCAACUCCAUUCAUUUUCCCCCAGUGUUGGCCACAGCUGUCUUGUGUGCAUGCAAUUUAGAGAAUCAAUAAAUUUAAGUGUAGACUAACCACGAUGUUAAAUUUACGGUAAAAGAAAACGAUGUUAAUGUUAGUGAAUUUAUAAUAAAAAGCUAACCACGCAUGAAACUUAUUUUUAUUUAAUUUUUGUUAACACUGUUGUAUUUGAAUUAUUCUCCUCGUUGUUGUUGCGACUUGAGAUAUCAGAAUUAUUUUGUUAUGGCAGUGUGCGCUAUCAAUGUUACAGCUUACUCUGGUUUUUAGUGUAUACUAUAUUUUGGCAGAACAAGUUUACAUUCACUUGGCUUUUGGGUCCAGUGCUAAUUUUUGAAGAUACUCGUACUGAACUGAGUGACCAAUUUCUUUUAUGCUAAUUUUUGAAGAAACGUUUGCUACACUUUUCUUACAUUUUUAGUUAUCAAGAGCUAAAUUUUCAACACA
rnacentral:lncRNA from 1 species